AGAUUGACGCGCGUAGUACCAUGCGACUACGCGUUGUCGAUCUGAUAUUUCUGCCGUCAAUCGGAAACGAUGCGGACGUCGCAACCCGUUCGACGUUGGUCGAGGAGCUAUGUAAGAGUUCGUUGUGCGGCGGUGGGUUCGCCCAUCGUGUGCGGCGAAUUACGUGGUCUUUUUCUGGCCAACAUCGUCGGACGGUAGAAAAGGUGCGGUUAUUGGUGUCGUCUAGCACGACAUCCAACGCCGGUUAGCGACGAAUCUUCGGGCCUCUUUCCGACCCGUCUUGAAACACGGACCAAGGAGUCUAACGUGCGCGCGAGUCGCGGGGUAUCGAGUCGCGUGAAUUUAAAUCGGCGGCUCGUUACAUUACGAAACCCGUGUGUAUGUGAAUGCAAGGCGCAAUGAAAGUGAAAUUUGGGAAGAUGGCGUUCGAGCUCACGUAUCUCGGUCGUCAUGUACCGAGGCCGAACGUCCGCACUCCCAGGGCGUCCUAUCGGCACGUUUCGGAUGCGGAUAGUCGUUUCGCGACGGCUGUCGGUCUUUAACGAGUCGGGGCGCACCUAUAGCGUGCACGUUGGUACCCGAAAGAUGGUGAACUAUGCCUGGCCAGGAUGAAGUCAGGGGAAACCCUGAUGGAGGUCCGUAGCGAUUCUGACGUG
rnacentral:rRNA from 1 species